CACACUGGCCCCGCACAGGUCAAGUGUCCACUCUUAAACCUGGCGGCUGUGUCCAGAAACUGGAGUCCCUUUGUGAUCUAGUUAUUCCCACCAUGUGGAGGGAAGAGAGGAUAAAGGUUACCAAGCAUCCUGGUGACAAAGGACCUCGUAAGUCUCAUGAGAGAAUCAGUGUAGACAAUGGCUCUCAACAUCAAAGGAUAGAAAGGUAAAGAACCAUCAAAGGAUUCGUCUUUUAAUGGCAGUGAUAGCUGAUCCCUUCUGAACGAUUAAGAUGUGAAUUGUCAAUCACAGCAACCAUCCUGCACUGAGUCAAAAGCAGCAAAGUUCACUAGAAGAGAUUCCCAAGAUGAAUUUGGACCCUGGCCUAGAAACAGGCAAGCUGAAACCAAUGCCAGUAUGCAAGGCCUAAAGAUGGAACCACCAGCAGUACUGGAGUGAGAAGCAGUGAAAAACCAGGUCCUGAUCAUACUGCCUAAGCACCUGGAUCCAGCUAUAC